rnacentral:rRNA from 1 species
UACGUAGGGCGCAAGCGUUGUCCGGAAUUAUUGGGCGUAAAGAGCUCGUAGGCGGCGUGUUGCGUCGGUUGUGAAAGCUCGGGGCUUAACUCCGGGUCUGCAGUCGAUACGGGCAUGCUUGAGUUCGGUAGGGGAGAUCGGAAUUCCUGGUGUAGCGGUGAAAUGCGCAGAUAUCAGGAGGAACACCGGUGGCGAAGGCGGAUCUCUGGGCCGAUACUGACGCUGAGGAGCGAAAGCGUGGGGAGCGAACAGG